rnacentral:lncRNA from 1 species
GAGGCUCCUGAGGAAGAGGAAAUCGGAUUCUGGCAGAUCGAGAAGCUAAGGCUCCAAGAGGUUGACACUUGGCCAAGUUGAGAUUGUACGAGGGCAGCAGGGCCCACACACAGGGGCUGGCCCCGUGGCCGAGUGGUUAAGUUCGCGCGCUCCGCUGCAGGCCGCCCAGUGUUUCAUUGGUUCGAAUCCUGGGCGCGGACAUGGCACUGCUCGUCAGACCACGCUGAGGCAGCGUCCCACAUGCCACAACUAGAAGAACCCACAACGAAGAAUACACAACUAUGUACCAGGGGACUUUGGGGAGAAAAAGGAAAAAAUAAAAUCUUUAAAAAAAAAAUUAACUUUUAAAUGAGUAAAUCAGAAAACAGAAAUCAUGUUAUCAUUUAUGUUUAGUCCACUGGAUGCUUUUUUCCAAAAUGAUAUUAAGGCAGGUAUCCUUGUUUCCUCAGCCUGAAAGAAUCAUUCACCAGUUUUUUGACUCUAUCAGCUGAAUAUUCCACCAAAGAGAGAAAGAUGAUGUGUGGUCCAGCUCUCCAACAGAGAGAAACCAAGCCUCUCAAAGCUGGUCAACCCGCAUGCCCUGCUGGCUGGCUUCCCUGUGUCCAGCUCAUCCUUGGGAUUUAAUCUGAGUCCUAGACUUAUGGGUGAAAUUCCCCCAUCUCAUCCGGAGGAAUUAUCAAACUGGCUCUAAUUUCAUUAUUCAAAAUCUUUUCAAAGUUAAACUUCAAGAAACACCUCUGUUCUCAUUUUGGGAAACUUCGUCUUGAUCUCUUUCCUCAAGAGAUCUCGAGGGGCCGGCCCUGUGGCAGAGUGGUUAAG